AGGAGCUUAGGUUAAUCCCCAGACCAGGGGCCUUCAAAGCCCCAAGCAAAUGAGUUACAUUUAGCUCCUG
rnacentral:tRNA from 1 species